rnacentral:rRNA from 1 species
CCCAGUGUGUUUCGACACACUAUCAUUAACUGAAUCCAUAGGUUAAUGAGGCGAACCGGGGGAACUGAAACAUCUAAGUACCCCGAGGAAAAGAAAUCAACCGAGAUUCCCCCAGUAGCGGCGAGCGAACGGGGAGGAGCCCAGAGCCUGAAUCAGUGUGUGUGUUAGUGGAAGCGUCUGGAAAGGCGCGCGAUACAGGGUGACAGCCCCGUACACAAAAAUGCACAUAUUGUGAGCUCGAUGAGUAGGGCGGGACACGUGGUAUCCUGUCUGAAUAUGGGGGGACCAUCCUCCAAGGCUAAAUACUCCUGACUGACCGAUAGUGAACCAGUACCGUGAGGGAAAGGCGAAAAGAACCCCGGCGAGGGGAGUGAAAAAGAACCUGAAACCGUGUACGUACAAGCAGUGGGAGCCUCUUAAUGGGGUGACUGCGUACCUUUUGUAUAAUGGGUCAGCGACUUAUAUUCUGUAGCAAGGUUAACCGAAUAGGGGAGCCGAAGGGAAACCGAGUCUUAACUGGGCGUUAAGUUGCAGGGUAUAGACCCGAAACCCGGUGAUCUAGCCAUGGGCAGGUUGAAGGUUGGGUAACACUAACUGGAGGACCGAACCGACUAAUGUUGAAAAAUUAGCGGAUGACUUGUGGCUGGGGGUGAAAGGCCAAUCAAACCGGGAGAUAGCUGGUUCUCCCCGAAAGCUAUUUAGGUAGCGCCUCGUGAAUUCAUCUCCGGGGGUAGAGCACUGUUUCGGCAAGGGGGUCAUCCCGACUUACCAACCCGAUGCAAACUGCGAAUACCGGAGAAUGUUAUCACGGGAGACACACGGCGGGUGCUAACGUCCGUCGUGAAGAGGGAAACAACCCAGACCGCCAGCUAAGGUCCCAAAGUCAUGGUUAAGUGGGAAACGAUGUGGGAAGGCCCAGACAGCCAGGAUGUUGGCUUAGAAGCAGCCAUCAUUUAAAGAAAGCGUAAUAGCUCACUGGUCGAGUCGGCCUGCGCGGAAGAUGUAACGGGGCUAAACCAUG